UGGCACUCCAUAGGUUCACAGCAAG
rnacentral:piRNA from 1 species